rnacentral:rRNA from 1 species
GAUGAACGCUGGCGGCGUGCCUAAUACAUGCAAGUCGAGCGAACGGACGAGAAGCUUGCUUCUCUGAUGUUAGCGGCGGACGGGUGAGUAACACGUGGAUAACCUACCUAUAAGACUGGGAUAACUUCGGGAAACCGGAGCUAAUACCGGAUAAUAUUUUGAACCGCAUGGUUCAAAAGUGAAAGACGGUCUUGCUGUCACUUAUAGAUGGAUCCGCGCUGCAUUAGCUAGUUGGUAAGGUAACGGCUUACCAAGGCAACGAUGCAUAGCCGACCUGAGAGGGUGAUCGGCCACACGGGAACUGAAACACGGUCCAGACUCCUACGGGAGGAGGCAGUAGGGAAUCUUCCGCAAUGGGCGAAAGCCUGACGGAGCAACGCCGCGUGAGUGAUGAAGGUCUUCGAAUCGUAAACCUCUGUUAUUAGGGAAGAACAUAUGUGUAAGUAACUGUGCACAUCUUGACGGUACCUAAUCAGAAAGCCACGGCUAACUACGUG